ensembl:lncRNA
UGUCAUUACCCACGGUUUGUGGAAUAAAAGAGAAUUGUUUCUGCUUAAAGUAAUCUCAGAUUUGUUCCUGUCAUUGACUCUUACACAGGAAGCCUCUGGUGGAACUGAUGACCAAAUGACAAGGGUCCGUUCCAACCUGGAAAUAUCAAAGGAUGACACUGAAGCCUCUGGUGGAACUGAUGACCAAAUGACAAGGGUCCGUUCCAACCUGGAAAUAUCAAAGGAUGACACUGAAGCCUCUGGUGGAACUGAUGACCAAAUGACAAGGGUCCGUUCCAACCUGGAAAUAUCAAAGGAUGACACUGAAGCCUCUGGUGGAACUGAUGACCAAAUGACAAGGGUCCGUUCCAACCUGGAAAUAUCAAAGGAUGACACUGAAGCCUCUGGUGGAACUGAUGACCAAAUGACAAGGGUCCGUUCCAACCUGGAAAUAUCAAAGGAUGACACUGAAGCCUCUGGUGGAACUGAUGACCAAAUGACAAGGGUCCGUUCCAACCUGGAAAUAUCAAAGGAUGACACUGAAGCCUCUGGUGGAACUGAUGACCAAAUGACAAGGGUCCGUUCCAACCUGGAAAUAUCAAAGGAUGACACUGAAGCCUCUGGUGGAACUGAUGACCAAAUGACAAGGGUCCGUUCCAACCUGGAAAUAUCAAAGGAUGACACUGAAGCCUCUGGUGGAACUGAUGACCAAAUGACAAGGGUCCGUUCCAAUCUGGAAAUAUCAAAGGAUGACACUGAAGCCUCUGGUGGAACUGAUGACCAAAUGACAAGGGUCCGUUCCAACCUGGAAAUAUCAAAGGAUGACACUGAAGCCUCUGGUGGAACUGAUGACCAAAUGACAAGGGUCCGUUCCAAUCUGGAAAUAUCAAAGGAUGACACUGAAGCCUCUGGUGGAACUGAUGACCAAAUGACAAGGGUCCGUUCCAACCUGGAAAUAUCAAAGGAUGACACUGAAGCCUCUGGUGGAACUGAUGACCAAAUGACAAGGGUCCGUUCCAACCUGGAAAUAUCAAAGGAUGACACUUGCCACCAUAUAUUUGCUUGUGCAGCUCUUAAUGAUUUGGACAACUGUGCGGAUUGCAGUGGAUCUUUCUCCCGUUUCAGAUGGCUUGGUUACACAUGCAAAUUGUGUUCAAGAUCAUGGCACAAAUCCUGCUUUCUCAAGAUUAAUUCAUCACUGGAUGUUGCACCGGAGAAACAUGUUUCUGACUCUGAAAUUAGUGAUGACUCGUCUGAUGAUUAUUACGUACCUGAAAGCUGUCAUGGGUCCAGCUCAGAUCAAGAUGGUGAAGAUGUUCCUAUACCUGUUCAACCCUGUACUGAUGAUGAAUCCACCUACACCCCCACCACAAGCCAUACCCAGACGCUUUCAGCAGAAACAGCAGAGUCUUCAUCUACUGAAAUCUCAGCAGCCCGAGAGGGUUCUUCUUGCACCCAGAAAAAUUAUUGCUAUGUUUGCAAAAAACCGCAAUCUAAAAUAGCUCGUCACCUUAAAAAACACGAAAAAGAAGAGCCUGACAUCGCAGAAGCUUUCUUGCUCCCCAAGAAUUCUAAAGAGAGAAAAAGGUUGCUUGAGAAGUUGCGUAACAGAGGUAAUUAUGAACAUAAUCAAGAGGUUAUCAGAAAUCAAGGUGGAACACUUAAAGUAAAAAGAAGACAGGGACCAUCAAAAAUCUCUGUGGAUGCCAAAAUGUAUGUGCACUGUACAUACUGUAAAGGUCUGUUUGUCCGUAAAGAGCUGUGGCGCCACUCACGAAGAUGCCCGUCAAAAACAGUCUCAGAAACUGAAGCCAAUGUUAAGAGCAAAGUCUUGGCUUUGGCCGAUAUUGCAGAGUCAACCUGCUCCCAAGCAAUUUCCAUUGGAGUGUGGAAGAUCCUUGGAAAGAUGAGGCAAGAUGAGAUAGCAUCUGUAGUACGGAAUGACUUUCUCACACUGCAGCUGGCCCAGUCUCUCUACAACAAGCAUGGGAGUGAUCCAACAAAAUUUGAGUACAUGAGAACAAAGGUUCGAGAAAUGGGCAGACUUUUAUUGACCCUAAGACAGAAAUAUUCUAUAUUUAGCUUUGAAGAUGCUGUAAAACCAAACAAUUUUUACAAAAUCAUUGGAGCUGUUAAAACAGUUGCUGGAUAUGAUGAAGAGAAGCACUCGUAUUCCACACCAAGUCUUGCCCUGAAAUUAGGACACUCGCUCAAGAAGAUCGGUGAUAUUAUUCUCUGCAGGGCCAUCUCAGCAGAGGAUGAAAUUUUGAUCAAAGCAGCGGAACGAUUCACGAAACUCUGCACAAAAGAAUGGGCAGGACAAGUCUCACACACUGCACUGGCUACUUUGAGCAAGUCAAAGUUCAAUAAACCAUCCACCAUACCCUUCACAGAGGAUGUUCAACUUUUGCACAAGUACCUGGAGGAGAAAUCGGCUGGCGCCGUUGAAAACCUGAAAGAGCAUCAGUCUCCUCAGGCGUAUGCAGAACUUGCUAGGGUGACACUUGCUCAAAUAAUCCUCUUUAAUAGACGCCGUGCAGGAGAAGUCUCAAAAAUGACACUUGAGUCCUUCAAGAAAAGAGACCAAACUGAGCUUCAUGGUGACCUAGCUGCUAGUCUGUCACCGGUUGAACAAAAGCUAGCCAGACACUUCAGCAGGGUGGAAAUUAUGGGCAAAAGAGGGAGGAAAGUUGCUGUUUUAUUAAACCCUGAGGUCCUUAGUGCAGCAACGCUUCUUGCAGAGAAGAGAGACACAUGUGAUGUGGACAAGGAUAAUCCCUUCCUAUUUGGACGGCCACAUUGCUCCCACACAAGCUACUACAGAGGACAGGACUGCAUGAGACACUUUGCACAGAUGUGUGGUGCAAAGAAUCCAGAAAAUCUGAGGUCUACACAUCUCCGCAAGCACAUGGCAACCUUGUCCCAAAUCCUCAACCUGAAGAAUAAUGAGCUUGACCAACUUGCCAACUUUUUGGGCCACGAUAUACGAGUCCACAGAGACUUUUAUCGUCUGCCAGAGGCAACUAUUGAAGUGGCAAAAAUCUCUAAGCUUCUACUUGCAUUCGAGAAAGGAACUCUUGGAGAAUUCCAGGGAAAGUCUCUCGACGAGAUUGAGGUUGAAGGUAUGUGGUGGUAUCAAAAUUUUUACAAAUAA